AUUGAACGCUGGCGGCAGGCUUAACACAUGCAAGUCGAGCGGAGAUGAGGUGCUUGCACCUUAUCUUAGCGGCGGACGGGUGAGUAAUGCUUAGGAAUCUGCCUAUUAGUGGGGGACAACAUUCCGAAAGGAAUGCUAAUACCGCAUACGCCCUACGGGGGAAAGCAGGGGAUCUUCGGACCUUGCGCUAAUAGAGGAGCCUAAGUCGGAUUAGCUAUGUGGUGGGGUAAAGGCCGACCAAGGCGACGAUCUGUAGCGUGUCUGAGAGGAUGAGCCGCCACACUGGGACUGAGACACGGCCCAGACUCCUACGGGAGGCAGCAGUGGGGAAUAUUGGACAAUGGGCGGAAGCCUGAUCCAGCCAUGCCGCGUGUGUGAAGAAGGCCUUUUGGUUGUAAAGCACUUUAAGCGAGGAGGAGGCUACCUGGAUUAAUACUCUAGGAUAGUGGACGUUACUCGCAGAAUAAGCACCGGCUAACUCUGUGCCAGCCGCCGCAGUAACAC
rnacentral:rRNA from 1 species